UACGUAGGGUGCGAGCGUUAAUCGGAAUUACUGGGCGUAAAGCGUGCGCAGGCGGCUUUGCAAGACAGAUGUGAAAUCCCCGGGCUCAACCUGGGAACUGCAUUUGUGACUGCAAGGCUAGAGUACGGCAGAGGGGGAUGGAAUUCCGCGUGUAGCAGUGAAAUGCGUAGAUAUGCGGAGGAACACCAAUGGCGAAGGCAAUCCCCUGGGCCUGUACUGACGCUCAUGCACGAAAGCGUGGGGAGCUAACAGG
rnacentral:rRNA from 1 species